AUUGAACGCUGGCGGCAGGCUUAACACAUGCAAGUCGAGCGGGGUGAUGGUGCUUGCACUAUCACUUAGCGGCGGACGGGUGAGUAAUGCUUAGGAAUCUGCCUAUUAGUGGGGGACAACAUCUCGAAAGGGAUGCUAAUACCGCAUACGUCCUACGGGAGAAAGCAGGGGAUCACUUGUGACCUUGCGCUAAUAGAUGAGCCUAAGUCGGAUUAGCUAGUUGGUGGGGUAAAGGCCUACCAAGGCGACGAUCUGUAGCGGGUCUGAGAGGAUGAUCGGCCAACCGGGGACUGAGACACGGCCCAGAAUCCUACGGGAGGCAGCAGUGGGGAAUAUUGGACAAUGGGGGGAACCCUGACCCAGCCAUGCCGCGUGUGUGAAGAAGGCCUUAUGGUUGUAAAGCACUUUAAGCGAGGAGGAGGCUCUUUUGGUUAAUCCCCAAGAUGAGUGGACGUUACUCGCAGAAUAAGCACCGGCUAACUCUGUGCCAGCCGCCGCCGUAA
rnacentral:rRNA from 1 species